GAGUGAGCAGCUGACAGCCAUGCCGCGUGCAGGAUGACGGUCCUAUGGAUUGUAAACUGCUUUUGCACAGGAAGAAACAACAUUACGUGUAAUGUCUUGACGGUACUGUGAGAAUAAGGAUCGGCUAACUCCGUGCCAGCAGCCGCGGUAAUACGGAGGAUCCAAGCGUUAUCCGGAAUCAUUGGGUUUAAAGGGUCCGUAGGCGGUUUGGUAAGUCAGUGGUGAAAGCCCAUCGCUCAACGGUGGAACGGCCAUUGAUACUGCCAGACUUGAAUUAUUAGGAAGCAACUAGAAUAUGUAGUGUAGCGGUGAAAUGCUUAGAGAUUACAUGGAAUACCAAUUGCGAAGGCAGGUUGCUACUAAUGGAUUGACGCUGAUGGACGAAAGCGUGGGUAGCGAACAGGAUUAGAUACCCUGGUAGUCCACGCCGUAAACGAUGGAUACUAGCUGUUGGGAGCAAUCUCAGUGGCUAAGCGAAAGUGAUAAGUAUACCACCUGGGGAGUACGUUCGCAAGAAUGAAACUCACAGAAAUUUUGACGGGG
rnacentral:rRNA from 1 species